GACGAACGCUGGCGGCGUGCCUAAUACAUGCAAGUAGAACGCUGAAGGAGGAGCUUGCUUCUCUGGAUGAGUUGCGAACGGGUGAGUAACGCGUAGGUAACCUGCCUGGUAGCGGGGGAUAACUAUUGGAAACGAUAGCUAAUACCGCAUAAUGGUAGAUGUUGCAUGACAUUUGCUUAAAAGGUGCAAUUGCAUCACUACCAGAUGGACCUGCGUUGUAUUAGCUAGUUGGUGGGGUAACGGCUCACCAAGGCGACGAUACAUAGCCGACCUGAGAGGGUGAUCGGCCACACUGGGACUGAGACACGGCCCAGACUCCUACGGGAGGCAGCAGUAGGGAAUCUUCGGCAAUGGACGGAAGUCUGACCGAGCAACGCCGCGUGAGUGAAGAAGGUUUUCGGAUCGUAAAGCUCUGUUGUAAGAGAAGAACGAGUGAGAGAGUGGAAAGUUCACACUGUGACGGUAUCUUACCAGAAAGGGACGGCUAACUACGUGU
rnacentral:rRNA from 1 species